AUUGAACGCUGGCGGCAUGCCUUACACAUGCAAGUCGAACGGCAGCACGGGAGCAAUCCUGGUGGCGAGUGGCGAACGGGUGAGUAAAGUAUCGGAACGUGCCCAGUCGUGGGGGAUAACGUAGCGAAAGUUACGCUAAUACCGCAUACGAUCUAUGGAUGAAAGCGGGGGAUCGCAAGACCUCGCGCGAUUGGAGUGGCCGAUAUCAGAUUAGGUAGUUGGUGGGGUAAAGGCUCACCAAGCCGACGAUCUGUAGCUGGUCUGAGAGGACGACCGGCCACACUGGGACUGAGACACGGGCCAGACUCCUACGGGGGGCAGCAGUGGGGAAUUUUGGACAAUGGGCGAAAGCCUGAUCCAGCCAUGCCGCGUGCAGGAUGAAGGCCUUCGGGUUGUAAACUGCUUUUGUACGGAACGAAAAGGUUUGGCCUAAUAAGCUGAGCUCAUGACGGUACCGUAAGAAUAAGCACCGGCUAACUACGUGCCAGCCGCCGCCGUAA
rnacentral:rRNA from 1 species